ensembl:lncRNA GFOD3P Gfo/Idh/MocA-like oxidoreductase domain containing 3, pseudogene
GGGACCGCAGCUCCCCGCUCCCCAGGUGUGGGGGCUCCGACACGAACGCCUCUGCUCGCAGGGCGGUGAGCGCAGAUCCCACGGGUCCCUCGGUCGGGGGUCGAGGCUGCUUCCGUUUCCAUCCCGGACCCGACAAUGGGCGGGAAAAAGAAGGCUUUACACGACUACGCGGCGGAGUUCACCGACCUGGUGGUGAAGCACCUGAUUGAGCACAGUGACUCUGGGGACACGUCUGUGGUGGAGACCCUUUACUGCAGGGCCUGCGAGCUGCCCGUGCGCGUGCGGAGGGACCGCAUCCUGGAACACCUGUCCUCGGGCAGGCAGCACGGCCUGCGGACGCCCAUUCUCAUGUAAAUGUCAGUGCCAACGCUGGUGUUUCAGGAGUCAUCCCAGCGGGCUGCGGGCUAUUUUAGGAUUCUCUGCCCUGCAAACGUUUCCAAAGUACGUGGACAGGCCGCCUGAUGACACUACGUUUACGGGAUCUGCUAGUGGCUUGCCUACUUAGGGAGUAAACCCUGUGAAGUCUCGCAGUUUUGUUAAAGUGUGCGUGGCCACCUGAAUGCUGCCUUAUCACAAGCCAGAUACAUACUGGUCUGUAGGGUAACUCCCCACUGUUGAUCCUCUGAGAUGAUUGUGGACUGGGUGCUGUGAGUCCUGCCACUUUGUUUAAGUGAAUGUGUCUUUUGUCCAGCUCAGCCGCCUCGGAUCUCGCUGCCACCAGCCUUACUGCACACCCGUGCCACCCGCCCUUGCCCCGUCAGCCUCAGCCUCAGCUCAUUCUCUCAGGCAGUCCCAGCAUUGGCACGGUACCUCCUCCCGCUGUGGGCCACACGUCUCUGCUCCCUGUCAACCCUCCUGCCAUCAGCACCACCACCAGCGACUUGUCUGCCCGGGAGGAUGCAACACCAUCUGCCUCCACCGGCCACCUUUCAGUGUUUCCUGCUUUCCAAGUAAAGAUACCAGCAGUGCCCUCAGAGCAGACCAGCCAGAGUUUUUCUGAAGCCUCCCACAGGGUGCUCCCCGGAGGAGGCCCGAGAUGCUCUCGUGACUUUGGAGCCGGGGUGGCUGGCCACCUUGGCCUGGGCAUCUUUGGGGUGGGCUUCGGGAGCCCGGCACUGCUGCAGAGUGUGGUGGAUGAGAACAGCUGCUGCUUGCUGUACGUGGUGGAGGACCAGCUGUGUGAUGUGGAGCAAGCCUUCAGAGCUGAGCAUUUGGGCCAACACCAGAGUGGUUCGGGAACAGGAUGCAGACAUUGUCCUCAACGACCAGCGGCACUUUGAUCCGGUUUUCCAGUUCUUGCACAAGCAAGUUUGUGUCAGCCACGCCCUGGGGAGGAUCCACUGGAUCACCGCCGUCACUGCCUGUUCCCGGCGGCCUCUCCGGCUUCCCUAAAGAGAGCAGGUGGGACUUUCUACAACGCUGCUGUGCACGACGUGGAUGCCGUAUGCAUGUUGCUGGGGGAAGCCACUCCGGACACUGUGUUUUCUCUGGGACAUGUCUUCUGCCCAGAUAUGGCCGCCUUAAAAGAUGCAGAUGCUGUUGUGAUCAGCAUGAAGUUUCCCUGUGAGGCCGUGGUUAGCGUGGACAUCAGCCAGCACUGCACAGACAGCUGCGACCAGGACGUCAGCCAGCACUGCACAGACAGCUGCGACCAGAGACUGGAGAUGGAGUCUUGCCCUGUCACCCAGGCUGGAGUGCAAUGGUGCGAUCUCGGCUCACUGCAACCUCCGUCUCCCAGGUUCAAGCGAUUCUUCUGCCUCAGCCUUCUGAGUAGCUGGGAUUACACGCGUGUGCCACCACGCUCGGCUAAUUUUUGUAUUUUUAGUAGAGAUGGGAUUUCACCAUGUUGGCCAGGCUGGUCUCGAACUACUGACCUCGUGAUCCACCUGCCAUGGCCUCCCAAAGUGCUGGGAUUACAGGCGUGAGCCACCAUGCUCGGCCUAAAAAACAAUUUUCUUGAAGAAUCCGAUUUUGUGCAUAGUAAUGACACAGCACCAUUCCUGAGAAAUAGGAAAUAUAUGUGUGUGGUAUGAAAAGCCCAUAUUCUGUUCUUGUCACCUGAAUCUAGGCUUCCUCUUUGGAUGUGAACGCGGGAAUGAACAGUGGCUGUUUUCCACCCAAAGGGGCGUGGAGACCUUUUGGAAACGGGCUUUCUCCUUUCCAUUUUGCAGCCGGGGGCGGGUGGAAACCUUCCUUCGAAGGGUAGUGCCUUGGGGAGCAGCAGACCUGCUCUGAGUCCAGCUUAGCUUUCCAAAAUUCUGUGUGGAACUUACUGGAGAUGUUUUUAUAUAUUUGAAAAUAAUGGCC